UUUUGGAAUAAUUUUUUAUAAAUUUUCGAUAGUAGCCGCUUAAGCCUAAAAAUGAUUUAGGAUUUUUUACUGUUUUGGGUACCGAGAACUUAUUGAUAGAAGUAAUUUUGUCGAGAUUAGGUUUUAUCUCAUCAGUUGUGAUUACGUGCCAUAAAAAUUGAAUUUCUUUCAAAUCACCAAAUCUAGAUCUUAUAUUUAUAUGAUCUAAUCGAAGCUGUUUAAUUACAUCGCAAUUUAUAUUAACAUCAAUUGCUAUUUUGUCAGUGUAAACAUAUUGGUCAAGAGUAUACAUGUGAAUAUUAUUGCGACAUUGAAUAUCAGUAAAGCCGUUAUCUGUAUUGUAAAUGCCUGGAUGAUUUGUUCGUGGUCGAGAAUUACACAAAUUCCUGUGUGUAAAUUAACUGGAAAACGCCUACAAAAAUUCUUCUAAAAAAGACAAAUGAAACCUUAAGAUGCUGGUUUGUAUGAAAAUUCUUCAACAGAAUGCCAUUGCUCAAAAUGUCGUACAUUAAGCGAUGCAGAUAAGGAUCGUAUGAUUAUAAAAAUUGUCACGUUGUUUUCUCGUUUGAGCUUGACUAUAUAUGUAUAUGAUAGCAAGAGGCAAUGUUAUAACCUUGAUGUACCCAAUAUUUAGUCAAUCGAUGAUAGAUAAAUGAGUCCAUGUCAGAAAUACGCUACAUCUGCAAGUCGGGAGCGUCGAUGCCAGAAGCAUAUCACUGAUAAGAAGAUAAAGCCCUUGAUUUUCAUAUAUAACAAUCCCCAGAAGCAGUACACGCGAAACAACAUGCAACGUUGACUCUUUUCAUGUGACAGUUGCUGCAUUCUUAUCAUUUACAGCAAAUAAAAGCAUUGCAGGAAACUGCACGUGCGUGCGUGCAUGCGUAUCUCUGUGUGUGUGUGUACUAUGUCACAAAGAGGUUUCCUAUAAGAGGCGUGUGGCGGGUUGGCCCAAUCUUGUAUAUUAUUAGGUCUCGACCAUUUCUUUCAAUUAUUCUGAGUGGAAUCGGGUACCUGGAAAACCAUAAACAAGAAAGCUGAAGAAAACAUUCAUCGAAGAAGAUUCUGAAAUCAAUUCGGACGAAGAAGGAAGUUAUUCCGAUUUGGAGGAUGACUCAUCAUGCUAAAUGUUUCAUUAAAUUGUAAAUUAAUUCCAGUUAUUUUAAAAAUAUAAUGUACAUGAAAGGAAUGAAAUCUAUUGGAAAUACACAUUAUUUUAUAAGUAUA